rnacentral:lncRNA from 1 species
CCGGUAGUCUUUUAUUGUGGAAUCUUUAAGUUUUCAAGUAUUGUGUUUUACCUCCCUUAAAUGUAUAUAUAUAUGUGUAACAUAACUUACAGUGAUGUAAGCAAGGUAGGUAAAAAGUUUUCCCUAAAAAGUUGAUUGGAUCACUGUUUCCGCACUGUAGCGUAUGCAGGCAGCAACUUUCCAUCUGGAGAGUUGACUUCGUACAGUCUCCUUGGGAACUGGUAGGGACCUAUUUCCUCAGUUGUUCCUUCCACUCUAAAGAGUUGAAUCAUAACGCAGGUUGGAUCCCAAACUGGAACCUUGUGAUCUUAAGGUUUUGUAAAUGUGUAACAUGUUCCUUAUCUGGUUCUGGAUAGUAAGUUUGUUAGAUCAUCAAAACAUAAAGUAAAGUACUUAUGACCAAAGUACUUGUAACCUAUCAAUAAUCUCAAUAAAAUAAAUUGAAGAGUAUACUAUUUUAAUCAUAAUAUUUUACAAUAUAUAAAUAUUAUCAUAUCCUUGGCAAAUUUAAAGUCACAACAUAUUUCUCAAACAUAUCUCUAGAUAUUGAUUUUGUAAGAAAAUUGUUUGCCCUUGAAAUUAGAUAACAAUUGAAUUUGUGCGUAGUUCUAAGGAAACGUAACACUAUUUGAUACAAAUAUGAAAUAAUGGUUUAAUAAAGGAAACAACAAUGCAAGUAUAAACAAAACCUUCGCAAAUAGAGCCAACCUUAGCUCCGAGAUUGAUCUUUCUUUUUCAAUGGAGAUAAUGAAGUAUGGGAUAGAGCAUAAAAUGGACAACAACUUGAAAUUAAUAGUAUAUUUUUUUCAGUAUUACAAUGUGUCUUUCACUAAUUCACUUCACCUUAUUUAUAGGGGCAAACCUAACCCUUUUUGCAUUAUUCUAUAGAAUAAUUAUGGGUCUUAUUGACCGUUGGGAAUUGUUCUUACUAAUGCCAUAUUUGCGUUGUAAUAUUUGGUUAGUAGAGAAUAUUAUGGUCCAUUGCCGGCUGAACUGGCGAUGCUUUCUCGAGGCUCAUAGGGAUAGGACCAGGCACACCCUUCAUACCUAUCGAGGGUGGGCUUGAUGAUCUCGAUUGAUAUCGAUAGUCAUCCGAGAUUUUGUAUAGCUCUAUCGAUGUGCUCUUCCUUUGUUCUUGAUAGCUAUUCGCAAGUUAUUUCAGUUGAUAUUCGAUACCACGUCGGAUCAGAUGUUAGGCUUGAUAAAUACCUUCAUUGACUGACCCUUGAGCAAGGUCGAACACUCGAGGGUCGAUCUAGUUCGAUCCCCAUGUUCGGUUUUACCCGUAGUCGACCACUCGAGGGUUGAUCUAGUUCGAUCCCCAAGUUCAGUUUUACCCAUAUACAAAUAGCCCCCUCGUUUCUUAGAAAGCCAGUGAUAAGAAACAAUAAGAACCUCUGGCUCUUACUUUGAUAGGCCAUGAUAUAAGCAAUGAAAAGUCAUCAAUGUCUUGUCGACAUAUUUUUCAAGGCAUUAAUAGUGUGUCAGUUGGCUGUCGGCCAUUAUAGGAAUUGAACCAUCAAUUGAAACCUGUAAAUACCCUUCCCCUACUGUUGAAACCUUUGCUUUCACAAGAGAAUCAUUUUCAUCGCCACUUUCAGAAGUCUUCUGUGUUUUCAAAACCUUAUUCUUGCCAAUUUGUUUGCGUAUUUUUGGUUACUUUACCGCAGAAUUGUUAACACCUUUUUUCAACUUUUCUUUAUUUAUAAAAAAUGGCUAAAACUUCUCAAACCAUCCCUUAAAAAGAGAAAUCUUCAUCGUCACAGCCUGUAGGAAAGGUAAAAGUGAUUGUGGAGCCGCGCUCUGAGGAAUUACUCCCUCUGUCGUGCGUCAUCGAUUUCGAUAUCGAGAAAUGCUCUUCGAAAUCGGGUCGAUGUGAACCAAUUUCGAGGUAUAUUAGUUUGAUCCCCAAUAACUUUCUUUCCCGAGUAAAAAAUGAUUGCAAUUGGGGUGAUAAGCAUGAGGUACUGCCUGAUCUCGAAGAGUCGAUCACGACCUAUAAGGAGGGGUUCUUGAGUGUUUACACUUACCCCAUCAUAUUGGAUCCUAUUGAUCCGAUAAUAAUCAAUUUCUGUAAGAAGUACGAGAUUACUCUCCGUCAAAUACACCCUUCAUUUUGGAGAAUAGUGAUACUUCUUCAUUUUUUGUAAGUAAAGUCGAUGGUCUUCCCUUCACCUUUGACCACUUAAUUCGUCUUUAUAGCCCCCGACUCUAUUCGAGCGGAUUGAUAAAACUUCAGAGUUGAGCUUCUAAGGCACCCAUCUCGAGCCUUGAGGAGGAUAAAGAUCGAGGCUGGAUGAGCCGUUUUGUUCGGAUCAAGACUUCGAACUUGAUUCCACCCGAGAGCAUGCCGUUCCCUGAGAGGUGGAACAUGAAACAUAAGUGUAAUUAGAUUUAUGAUCUCUGUUAAUUGUUUUUCAUUUCCCUAAACAUGUUAUUUGAUACUGUCGUUUCCUGGAUUCCUGAGGCAAUUCCCAAUCUUGAGCAUUGGGUACGGAGCUUGGCAUCUCAGUCCACGCACGUCAAGCGUGCAUGGCACGAUUUAGCGAAGGGCCAGUGGGAGGCUAGUAACCAUGGUAAGUGUCUCUGAUUGCCUACUUGACCAUUUGCUCGAACCUUUCUCGAACUUGUGUCAUUCUUCCCCUUUUUAUAGGCCUCGGGAAGGACGUGAUGAUGAGGCCCCCACCCAGUGAAGUAGCAGACCUCCCUCUCCAUCAAUUCUAAAGUCAUUUAAGGAAAAGAAAUUGAAAGAGAUAUCGAGCUCCUCGAAAUCAGGGGGACAGGAGCCGAAAAAGAGGAAAUCCCGUACGUUAAAAAAGAUUGCUCCUCUAUCUAUGGAGUCGGUCUUCUUGCCGAGGGACGAACCUGAAGAAGUAGAAGGCAAUGAUUUGAUGGCUCGAUCAAGAGCUGGCAUAGAUGUUCGAGGGACCCUAGAAUUGGAGGGGGUCAAAAUAGCCCCCCGUCGACUUGAUGAGCUCGAGAAGGUUGAUGAUCCUCAGUCUUAGAGUCCGAAUACGGCCGAUGACAUGACUGGCACUGGUGCAGAGUCCAACCUAAAUGUCCUUCGAAUUGAAGGUAUCUCCGAAAUCCCGGUCGGGGCGGUAAAUGCUAAAGUUUCUUCAUCUUUCACUGACUAGAUGAUUCGAGAUGCCCAAGCAAUGGAAGCUUGUCAUACCGAAGGGGUUCAAGGGUCAGAGGACCCUUUCAGAAACUACUUUGUCUGAGUGGAAGAUGCCUCUGGUUUUGGUGGCUUGGCAAUGCCGAGAAGGAACUUGAGUGAAGCUUCUUCAAAUCCUGGGUUGACUAACCAAUUUUCGGCCCCCAGUAUUAACCCUGGUCGAAAACGGUCGAUUGUUAUCUCAAUCCCAGAGGAUGCUAGUCUUUUCUCCUCUCGUGGGGUAAGCUAGCUAUCUCCGAUGCUUGGUGACCGAAGAAGACCAGGCCAAAAUGGAUGCAGUAGAAAUACCUUACCUUUUUAACGAAGCUCAAUAGGCUUUGAAUCGGGUAAACCCAUAUUCCCAUAUUGUCCUUCUCGAUUUGAUACUUCUUUGUUAUUAUUUUUGCUACUUUAUAGGCUUCGCUUUUGCAUCAUGACGCCUUCUUUCGGCUCCAUGGGGAGAGAUCCAUUAUGAGUCUGAAUUUUAAAGUCUUACUGAGGAAAAGGGUGCCCUCAAACAUCUCAGUGAUCAGAAAGAGAGAGAAAUUCAACACCUUCAGGAUGAGCUAAAGAAGGCCCAAAAAGAACUCACCGAUCCGGACGAGCAGGUAAGGAGAAUUUUUGAAGUUAAUGUUGUUGGCCUGAGAACAGUGAUUGAUGGUUCGAAUCCGCAGGUUCAGUAGAAGAUCGAUAUGAUCAACCAGCUACAUGAGAAAGUGGGAGAAAUAAUGGCAAAGUCCAAGCGAUGCAAAAUAAUAUGGAUCAGCUUUCCUUAGAAAAAGAGACCGCUCCGGCCCAACUGUCUUCGGUCGAAGCCCAGCUACGAAGUGCAAAAGAGGAAACCUUGGUAAAAGUCGAGAAGAUCAAGGAACUCCAAUCUCAGUUGGGUUCGGAAGAUUUAGUUAGGGUGAAUAUGAUCGCGGAGCUCGAGGGGGACAAGUUGAAGAUAAAAACAACCAAGAACGAAGUUGAUGCAAUGGUGGCUAUUUAUCGAGCUGAUGCUUUAGCCGCUUAGGUUUGAUCAAAUGAAGUUGUCGAGGCUGCUCAGGUACGAGCACAUUGGAUUGCUGAGCACAUUAAGCACCAGUCUCAAAGGGAGACUCUGGAGGAGAUCCAUGCCCAUGGCUUCAAACUUUCGGUUGAAAUCAAAAAAUCCAAGGAACUGGAAGCUGAGGCCAAGGGUUUAGCUUACCCUAUUGAUGAUGACUCCAAGAGCUCAAGCGGGUCCGAAAGUGGAGAGGAUACCGAGGGUGAAGAUGCUGAUACUGGUGGGGACUAGGCCUUAUAGGGUUUUAUUUGUCGUGUUUUUUGUUGAAGCCUUUUCUGUAAAGAAUUUCCUUUGGCCGAAGUUGCCCUUAUAAAUAAUUAUUGAUGCGUAUAUAAAAAAAAUUCUCUCAUCUCAUGUAUGAAUUUGCAUUGAGCACUUUAAUCUUUGAGCUCAACAUAACUUCGCCCUUAGGCGUUUGUGGUCAAGAUAAUGUACCCUCAGUCGCAGCCCCAAAGUAAGAGUUUGCUUGAACUUGUAGUAGUGUAGCCCUUAGGCUUAAUGGUCGAGUGAGAGUUGUUCGAACUCAAAAUAAUGUAGUCCUUAGAAUUAGUGGUCGAGUGAGGAUUGCUCGAAUUCGGAAUAAUAUAGCUAUUAGGCUUAGUGGUCGAGUGAGGGUUGUUCGAACUCAAAAUAAUGUAGCCCUUAGGCUUAGUGGUCGAGUGAGGGUUGCUCGAACUCGGAAUAAUGUAGCCCUUAGGCUUAGUGGUCGAGUGAGAGUUGCUCGAACUUAAUAUAUUGUAGCCUUUAGGCUUAGCCCCCGAGUGAGGAUUGCUCAAAAUCGAAGUAAUGUAGCCCUUAGGCUUAGUAGUCGAGUGAGGAUAGCUCGAACUCGGAAUUAUGUAUCCCUUAGGCUUAAUGGUUGAGUGAGGGUUGCUCGAACUCGAAAUAAUGUAUCCCUUAAGCUUAGUGGUUGAGUGAGGGUUGCUCGAACUCAAAAUAAUGUAGCCCUUAGGCUUAGCCCCCGAGUGAGGAUUGAUCGAACUCGAAGUAAUGUAGCCCUAAGGCUUAGUGGUCAAGUGAGGAUUGCUCGAACUCAAAAUAAUGUAGCCCUUACAGCCCCCGAGUGAGGAUUGCUCAAACUCGAAAUAAUGUAGCCCUUAGGCUUAGCCCCCGAGUGAGGAUUGUUCGAACUCGAAUUAAUGUAUCCCUUAGGCUUAGCCCCCGAGUGAGGAUUGCUCGAACUCGAAAUAAUGUAGCCCUUAGGCUUAGCCCCAGAGUGAGGAUUGUUCAAACUCGAAGUAAUGUAUCCCUUAGGCUUAGUGGUCGAGUGAGGAUUGCUCAAACUCGGAAUAAUGUAGCCCUUAGGCUUAGUGAAAAUUGGGUGUGACAAAAUGUUUGAAAAUACCAUUCGUGUGAACUGAUGUUAUAUGAGUACAACCUUUUAAAACUUGAGUAGUUUACGUGGGCACGGUUAGCUUUGACCAUUUCACCCGUAUAAUGAUUUCGUCUUGCCGAGGGACUUCUAAUUUGAACACUUUUUCUUGUCAUAGUUGGUAUCCAUAUCCGAGGGGUGCCCCCGAGUAUUUGAGGUUGAAGGUAGAUGAAACCUCGGAUACUGUUGAUUUGACACUAUUAUUUCCUCGUUCUGAGUCAUCACGAUUCAUUGUUUCCUCAUUAAAAACCUUGCCGAAAAAACUCAUUGGGUAAAAACCGGUUCAAGGGAAAAAGAGUGCAACACGUGCUUUCAGUCUUCAGGUUCCUCAUUGUACUUUGUCGAUUAUCUACAAUGGUUAGAUUCCAAGAUGUCAAAUGUGUUUAAUGGAGGUCGUACCUUAGCAAUAGUAUCAUUUUAGGUGUGUUACAUUCCAAUUGCUAGGUAACUCUCAGUCGUCCAUUGUCCCUAGCUUAUAAGAUCAUUUCCUAGUGAUUUUGAGAAUUUGGUACAAACCUUCCCAGUUUGGGACCAACUUCCCUUCAUUUGGAUUUUGCGUAUUUAAUGUGACAUUUCUUAACACCAAGUCUCCGAUUUUGAAGUAUCUAAGCUUGGUCCUUCGAUUAUAAUACCUCUCGAUUUUCUGCUUCUAGGCGGCCAAUCGAAUAAGGGCAAUUUCGUUAUCUUUUGUCUAGUAGUUCCAAGUUUGUAAGCAUGGCUUCAUUCCUAGAUUCAUCUAUUGUGUAUUGAAAUCUGAUACUUGGUUCACCAACUUCGACCGGUAUAAGGGCUUCAGUGCCGUAGACUAGUGAGAAUGGUGCGUCCCCAUUACUGGAUCUCGAGGUUGUUAUAUAUGCCCAAAGGACUUUGGGUAGAAUCUCCCUCCAUCUUCCCUUUUCUUCAGUUAAACUUUUCUUAAGGUUUUGGAUAAUGGUACUGUUUGUUGAUUCUGCUUGUCCAUUUGCACUGGGGUGAUAGGGCAUUGAUAAGAUUUUACUAAUUUUGUGAUCCUCGAAAAAUUUCGUGACUUUGCUACCAAUGAACUGCUUCCCAUUGUCACAUACAAUUUUAGAUGGUAUCUUGAAUCAUCACACGAUGUGGUCCCAAAUAAAAUCGAUCACUUCCUUUUCCCUAAUCUUCUCGUAUGCUUGAGCUUUACCUUAUGCCCGUGGGAGAGGGCCGACGAUGUCCAUCUCCCACUUCAUGAAUGGCCAUGGUGAUAUGAUCGAGUGUAGUGGUUCCCCAGGCUGGUGAAUCGAUGGUGCGUGUUUUUGGCGCCCAUCACAUUUUUGUACGAACUCUUUUGCAUCUUUUUCUAUGUCGAUCCAAUAAUAUCCAGCUCAGAUUAUCUUUUGAGCUAAUAGUUUGGUGCCUGAGUGAUUACCGCAAGUGCCCUCAUGAAUUUCUAUAAGAAUGUAAUAAAUGUCUCGCGGCCCGAGACAAAUAGCAAGUGGGCCGUCGAACAUCCUUUUGAAUAAGAUCUCGUCUUCAGAUAGGCUGAACUGGGCUGCUUUUGUGCAUAGAGACCUCGAUUCUUUUGGGUCCUUCGGUAAACUCCCUGUUUUGAAGUAUUAUAUGUACUUGUUUCUCCAAUCACAAGUUAGGCUUAUGGAGUUUACUUCGAUUUGGCCUCCUUCUGUCACCGAAUUUCUCAAUUUCAUGACUACCUCUGAUUUGGGUUUGUCAUCUUCGGCCAUCGAGCCUAAGUUUGCCAGGGCAUCAGCUUUACCGUUCUGGUCUCGAGGAAUGUGUUGUACAUUCCAUCCUUUGAAUCGAUGUAAAGUCAUUCGUAGCUUGACGAGGUAUCUUUGCAUUCGUUAUUCCCUGACCUCAAAUGCACCAUUUAUUUGGUUCACUACAAGGAGAGAGUCAGAUUUAGCCUCGAUCACCUCUGCCCCUAAGAUUAUUGUGAGUUUGAGACCUGCAAUUAUGGCCUCAGAUUUGGCCUCAUUGUUAGUCAGUUUCAAAGUUCUGAUCGAUUGUCUAACUAUGUUGCCCGAGGGUGGUUUCAGCACUAUGCCAGGCCCGGAUCCCUUCCCAUUCGACGCAUCGUCUAUAAAUAAGGUCCAGGUUCCCGAAGAGGCCUUCGAGCUGGCCACCAUUUCUUUAUUAGCUUCGGGAAUCAGAGCUGGUGUAAAAUCGGCUACGAAAUCUGUCACACCUCCUUUUUCCCAAGGAGAUAGGGAGUUUUUCCAAUUUAAGUGACAUAAUCGAAAAGGGAUUAUUUAUUUAUUCAGAGUCGCCACUUGGGAUAAUUUAUGGUGUCCCAAGUCACCCUUAUUUUAAAUCCCAAAUCGAGGAAAUUGACUUUUAUUUAUGGUUUGCGAACACAGAAGACCGGGUAAGGAAUUCNNNNNNNNNNNNNNNNNNNNNNNNNNNNNNNNNNNNNNNNNNNNNNNNNNNNNNNNNNNNNNNNNNNNNNNNNNNNNNNNNNNNNNNNNNNNNNNNNNNNNNNNNNNNNNNNNNNNNNNNNNNNNNNNNNNNNNNNNNNNNNNNNNNNNNNNNNNNNNNNNNNNNNNNNNNNNNNNNNNNNNNNNNNNNNNNNNNNNNNNNNNNNNNNNNNNNNNNNNNNNNNNNNNNNNNNNNNNNNCCUAUUGUGCAUUUUAACUCUAUUACCGCUUUUAUUUUUAUUUAUAAAAUUAUUUAUGGAACAAGACACAAUUGUCGUACACUUAUCGUUUUUAACACAUUGUGAAUCGCGUCUCAUGAAAUGCACCUGCAGUUUACAACAUGUUUAUUUUUAUUACUAAUGUUCAAAGUUAUAGUCGGGUCACAUGAAAUGCAAACUCGAAUUGCGGAUUAGGUACCACGACCAUGCCAUGGGAACCGUACCCAUAGCCGUGAUGAUUUAUUUAUUAAUCGUGCCUAAAGCAAGCUACAAUAUUCAUAAAUGGUGAUUAAUUUCCCUAAUAUUUGACGUUCGUUUAUAAAAGAUCAAAAAGUUGUGGAUAAGGAUAGAUUUUAACAGGGGAAAAACUAAAGAAAUUAGUCCAACAUAACUUUUUAGAUGUAGAGUGGUAAACGAUUUUGCAGACAACUGAAAGUGUGGACUCCCGUUACUUAGGACUUAAUGGAAGUUAGCAUUUUUAAGAGCUUCAUUUAAUAAAAAAAAACGCAGCAGCCAUAUUUUCAACAAAAAAAAAAAGUUAAACCAAGGCUCAACUUUCAUGAUUCGAAUAACUCUAAGAUUGUCUUAUCCCAUAGAAACUAGAUGCAAUAGGUGGAUAUAUUCAGCACUUCGUUCACAAUUAAAUGACUGACAUGAUAGAUAUUUUUCACAGACAAACCAAAGACAAGUUUGGAAAUUAGCAAUUGAAUAACAACGGUUAACAACAAAGUUCUGAACAUCACAAUAUAAGAACCACAUUACUCGAUUAAAUCCCUGCAAUUAAUUUUAUAUCUCAAACAGUAAUACUGUCUUGAACUAAUUAACUGAAUAGGGCAUUCAAGAAUCAAGAUAUACUACUCAAGGGAAGAGGUUUCACUUAGUACAAAUUGAUACAAGAAACUCAUGAAAUUAGAAGCAAGGCCAUGACGUCUUAACUAGUUAACGCUCAUGUCGUUGUAAAAUGAUUUUCAACCCAGCAGCUCCUAUAAUAACGAAAGAGGAAAUUGAUUGAAUCAUAUGGCUUCAGCGAUGCUUAUAGUCUGCUACUCAAGACCUUUCAACACAAACAUAUUUACAUAAAGUUCAAACCACCAUCAUAGUCUCACAGAAAGGAAAAGAAAAAACAGACUUCCCCAAAUCAUUCAAAUCCAUCAAUAGCUUAUUUUGUCGACUCCAAAUCUUAACAGAGCCAAAUGAAUCAAGAACAAGCAAAAAAGCAACAGAACUUAAAACUUUGGCGAAACAUCACUUAAUCAAUAUGAGAAUCAAUAGGUAUACAACAAAAUUUCAUCCCUGAAUCAAAAAUAAGUUAGGAUUUACAUACCAGCAAAGAAACAGACUUAGCAAAACCAAGUAAAGGCUAAGAGCAGCCACAAACUGAAGCUCGGCUACAAUGAUUCACACAAAACGAGUUCGAACAAAAAUUGCGACAAAACCCACAAACCAGCAGCAGGAAUCGAACAGCCGGAAAAAAAUCAAUCUACUCUAAACUCAAUCGAACCCCGUUCUUUGAACACCUGAAUUAAAAGAAGAAGAAAAAGAAUGAAAUUCCAUAAUUUCAUAUAUGUUUUUCUGAAAUUCAAGCUAAACCUUGUAUUUUUUUGUGGAGUAAUAUCAGAACUCAAAAGAAAAGGAAAUAAAAAAAAUCUAGAACGGGUUCAUCCGAAAAUUAGAAGAAAAUUCUCGAACCUUCUGCCCCAAAUCCAAAAAGAAAGUCCUCCAAUCUCUUUGUGUAAACGAUUUUUGAGACAAAUGGAGGGUGUGGAUCGAUUGACAAUCAAUCCAUGGCUCCCACUAAUCUCAAAAUCACUCAACAAGGAAUCUAAACCCGUGAAACCCAAAAAGAAUAAUUAUGUUUGUCAGAAAUAGUUACGCUACGUGGCAAGAGUAGAGAGAAGGGAGUACGUGGGGCGAGUUUGGGGUGAACUCGCCUGAGUUUCAGGCGAUUUUGGGUGGAGUUGGGCGUAGCAGAGACUAGGUUAGAGGGGAUGGGGCGCCGUUUGAAUUAGAAAAAUUAGGGUU